UACGAGAGGACCGGGAUGGACGAACCUCUGGUGGUCCAGUUGUCGCGCCAGCGGCAUAGCUGGGUAGCUACGUUCGGAAUGGAUAACCGCUGAAGGCAUCUAAGCGGGAAGCCAACCUCAAGAUAAGAUAUCCCUUCAGGCACUCAGCUUGCUGAGUGCCUGGCUGAAGACCCCUCGGAGACUACGAGGUUGAUAGGCCGGGUGUGUAAGUGCGGUAACGCAUUUAGCUAACCGGUACUAAUCGGUCGUGAGGCUUGGUCAU
rnacentral:rRNA from 1 species